UGGCAGGACUACUGAGCAAGGCCUUGGAAAAUCGGAGCGAUUAGAGCGGUUCAAACAAUACAGAAGUGUAUAAAGUAAGAAUUGAAAGUCUCUUCGCUGCUCUAAUCUCACUCCUCAGAGGUGAUCACUGAUUAUCAUCCCAGAGCCCUCCCUGAAGCCCACACACAGCUUCUUCAGGAAAUGCUGACAGCAUGGACCUGAGUGAGCAGAAGGCUUUUCAGAAUUACAGCCUGAACUAUUUCUUGAGCAAUUUGGGAACUCAUUUCUAAAGCAGUCCUCAGAUUCACACAACGUAGUUUGUGACGGAGUAUGCCCAGAGCAGUGUGGAAGAUGAUCAAAGUAUGACAUUUCUUCUACCCCAGAGGCUGGCAUUUCUGCAGGCACAAAUGAGCUUGGUUUUCAAGCACUGCUCUUUGAACACAAGGAAUUCCUUUAAUGAUCACGCCGGACUAUAUAGACUUUGGAAUCAGACUCUUUGAAUUCCAGCUCUGCCAUUUACCAACUUUGACACUUUGGACAACGUCUCAUUCUGUCACCCAGGCUGGAGUGCAGUGGCACAAUUAUAGCUCACUGCAGCCUCAAACACCUGGGCUCAAGCAAUCCUUCCACCUCUGCCUCCUGAGUAAUUGGGACUACAGGCAUGUGCCACCACACCCAGCUAAUUUUUAAUUUUUAAUUUUUUUGUAGAGAUGGCGGUCUUGCUAUGUCACCCAGGCUGGUCUUGAACACCUGGCCUCAAGUGAUCCUCCGGCCUUGGUCUCUCAAAGCUCUGGGAUUACAGACAUGAGCCACUGCACCCGGCUCUAUCUCCCCUUCCUAUGUGUGUUAGCUCUAGAACAAGAGAAGCCUUGUUGAGAUUCCUGGCUGCCCACCCCCCAUCACCUCUCUGACUUUGGGCAAGUUGCCUGGCCUCUCUCAGCCUUUAUUUUCUUUUUGUGAAAUGGGGAUAAUAAUAGUACUUGCCUCAUAGGCAAAAUGUUGUGAGAACUAAACGAGAAAAUGCAUGUAAAGCACUUGGCACUUAGUUCUUUUUAUGAUUAUAAUGAUAAUCAGACACAAUAAAUUAUGUCUCACAUCA
rnacentral:lncRNA from 1 species